rnacentral:rRNA from 1 species
GAGGAAUAUUGGGCAAUGCCCGAAAGGGUGACCCAGCAACGCCGCGUGGAGGAUGAAGGUCGUAAGAUUGUAAACUCCUGUUAGAGGGGAAGAAUAACUAAGUUUGGAGCUUAGUAUGACUGUACCCUCAGAGAAAGCCCCGGCUAACUACGUGCCAGCAGCCGCGGUAAUACGUAGGGGGCAAGCGUUGUCCGGAUUUACUGGGUGUAAAGUGCGCGCAGGCGGAAUGGAAAGUCAGUGGUGAAAUCCUACAGCUUAACUGUAGAACUGCCUUUGAUACUUUCAUUCUUGAGUUCGGGAGAGAGAGACGGAAUUCCAGGUGUAGUGGUGAAAUACGUAGAUAUCUGGAAGAACACCAGUUGCGAAGGCGGUCUCUUGGUCCGAUACUGACGCUGAGGCGCGAAAGCGUGGGGAGCAAACA